rnacentral:rRNA from 1 species
GGGGGGCAUGCCUGUCCGAGCGUCAUUGCUGCCCAUCAAGCCCGGCUUGUGUGUUGGGUCGUCGUCCCCCCCGGGGGACGGGCCCGAAAGGCAGCGGCGGCACCGUGUCCGGUCCUCGAGCGUAUGGGGCUUUGUCACCCGCUCGACUAGGGCCGGCCGGGCGCCAGCCGACGUCUCCAACCAUUUUUCUUCAGGUUGACCUCGGAUCAGGUAGGGAUACCCGCUGAACUUAAGCAUAUCAAUAAGCGGAGGAAAAGAAACCAACCGGGAUUGCCUCAGUAACGGCGAGUGAAGCGGCAAGAGCUCAAAUUUGAAAUCUGGCCCCUCCGGGGUCCGAGUUGUAAUUUGCAGAGGAUGCUUCGGGUGCGGCCCCUGUCUAAGUGCCCUGGAACGGGCCGUCAGAGAGGGUGAGAAUCCCGUCUUGGGCAGGGUGCCCGUGCCCGUGUGAAGCUCCUUCGACGAGUCGAGUUGUUUGGGAAUGCA